rnacentral:lncRNA from 1 species
CGGCUCCAGCGCUGCGCUUCUCAGUUUCGUGUCUAAGGCGACGGAGCCUGGCUCCUGCGCAGGCUUCGCUCGCCGCUGCCUGAUCGCCGAGGGCACUGCCUCUCGUUUGAACCCUCUGAGGGAAAGCGGUAAAAGAGGUGUAUUCAGCCGAGGCCUCCGCUGGACUGUCCGGCUGUGGCGAGUUACACGGUGAUGAGCUGCUAAAGGAAGGGCAAAGUCCUUCGUGGCAAAGCACCCAGAUUAAGUACGGAGAGGUGGAUCCUGACAUCAAACCAACCUGCUCCUAAAAAUUACAGUCAGUGACCAGAAAACAAACCAGAUUCGAUCUGACGCAGGUUCCAACCAGCAGCCGGGUAAGAAGCUUGUUCCGUUGCAAAUGACCCUUGCCUCGACCCUGAGACCUUGAGGCUGAGAAGAACCCACAGUGGUGCCACCAAUGGGCCUAGUGCUAUUAACCAGCAAAGAAGAAGAAAACCUUGGCGAGAGACCUCAGUUACCUGAGGGGCAUAGCCCUUCCUGGCUGCAUGGAUCCCACACACAUUAUCCGCACCACCAUUACCACCGCCGCGUUACUAGAGAUUGAACCCAGGGCCUCGUCCCUGAGUCAGCACUCUGCCACUGAGCUACAUCCCAAACCUUUUUAAAAUUGCUCCGGCUGUCCUUAAACUCUCAGUCCUCCUGUCUCAACCUCUUCAGUAACUAGGAUUACAGUUGAGUACUGGGGACAGAACCUAGGGCCUGCUGCAUAGCAGCUGCCAUUUUAUAGAAUCUUGGAGCAACAGAUUGCAAUCCCAAUCAGCCGCAAACAACUGUCUUGAGGAGAUGAUUUCAUCCUCCAUGAACACCACAGAUGAGGUCAGAAUGACUCCAUUGUUUAUCUACAACAAGCCCCUUUGACAUGAGCCUGCUAACAAGAACACAGAUCCUCCAACUUCCAUUCUUGGCCUCCUGGAUUUGUUGAGGUUAAAGUUUAUAUCCUAGAUACACAUAGGGAAAAACAUUUUCUGCUAGCUGAGACUUCCCUUCAU